rnacentral:rRNA from 4 species
UCCUACGGGAGGCAGCAGUGGGGAAUAUUGGACAAUGGGCGAAAGCCUGAUCCAGCCAUGCCGCGUGUGUGAAGAAGGUCUUCGGAUUGUAAAGCACUUUAAGUUGGGAGGAAGGGCAGUAAGUUAAUACCUUGCUGUUUGACGUACCGACAGAAU